rnacentral:rRNA from 1 species
CACUCUAAGCGGUGAAUCACUCGGCUCGUGUGUCGAUGAAGAGCGCAGCCAGCUGCGUUAAGUAAUGUGAAUUGCAGGACACAUUGAACAUCGAUAUCUUGAACGCAUAUUGCGGCCUCGGGCAUUCCCGAGGCCACGCCUGUCUCAGGGUCGGUUGCACGGUAAUCGCGAG